rnacentral:rRNA from 1 species
GAUGAACGCUAGCUACAGGCUUAACACAUGCAAGUCGAGGGGAAACGACAUCGAAAGCUUGCUUUUGAUGGGCGUCGUACGGCGCACGGGUGAGUAACGCGUAUCCAACCUGCCCACCACUUGGGGAUAACUUUGCGCAAGUAAGACUAAUACCCAAUGACGUCUCUAGAAGACAUCUGAAAGAGAUUAAAGAUUUAUCGGUGAUGGAUGGGGAUGCGUCUGAGUAGCUUGUUGGCGGGGUAACGGCCCACCAAGGCGACGAUCAAUAGGGGUUCUGAGAGGAAGGUCCCCCACAUUGGAACUGAGACACGGUCCAAACUCCUACGGGAGGCAGCAGUGAGGAAUAUUGGUCAAUGGACGAGAGUCUGAACCAGCCAAGUAGCGUGCAGGAUGACGGCCCUAUGGGUUGUAAACUGCUUUUAUAAGGGAAUAAAGUGAGAGUCGCGACUCUUUUUGCAUGUACCUUAUGAAUAAGGACCGGCUAAUUCCGUGCCAGCCGCCGCUGUAA